rnacentral:rRNA from 1 species
UACGGAGGGUGCAAGCAUUAAUCGGAUUUAUUGGGCGUAAAGGGCGCGUAGGCGGGGAUGAAAGUCAGAUGUGAAAUCCCGGGGCUCAACCUCGGAACUGCAUUUGAAACUCCAUCUCUUGAGGGUGGGCGGAGAAAACGGAAUUCCACGUGUAGCGGUGAAAUGCGUAGAUAUGUGGAAGAACACCGGUGGCGAAGGCGGUUUUCUAGCUUACACCUGACGCUGAGGCGCGAAAGCAAGGGGAUCAAACAGG